rnacentral:sRNA from 1 species
UUUAGUGCUCAUGAAGUAAAGCUUAUUUGCUUAUUCAAAGUACAGGUAUAAAAUGAGCACCAGCUGUCCAUCCUUCCCCACACUGCCCCUGAGACGGCCCUGAACCACCUCAACCUGGAGAAUCCAUCUCCAGAGGUCAGAGGGGUGGUCAUGCUCCAUGCCCAUUCAAUCCUUUGGCUCU